rnacentral:rRNA from 1 species
CGUUGGUCCCACCUGACCCCAUGCCGAACUCAGAAGUGAAACGCCGUAGCGCCGAUGGUAGUGUGGGGUCUCCCCAUGCGAGAGUAGGGAACUGCCAGGC